AUUGAACGCUGGCGGAAUGCUUUACACAUGCAAGUCGAACGGUAGAGGGGGCAACCCCUCGAGAGUGGCGAACGGGUGAGUAAUAUAUCGGAACGUGCCCAGUCGUGGGGGAUAACGUAGCGAAAGUUACGCUAAUACCGCAUACGAUCUAAGGAUGAAAGCGGGGGAUCGCAAGACCUCGCGCGAUUGGAGCGGCCGAUAUCAGAUUAGGUAGUUGGUGGGGUAAAGGCUCACCAAGCCAACGAUCUGUAGCUGGUCUGAGAGGACGGCCAGCCAAGCUGGAACUGAGACAAGGUCCAGACUCCUACGGGAGGCAGCAGUGGGGAAUUUUGGACAAUGGACGCAAGUCUGAUCCAGCCAUUCCGCGUGCAGGAUGAAGGCCCUCGGGUUGUAAACUGCUUUUGUACGGAACGAAAAGGUCUCUCUUAAUACGGGGGACUCAUGACGGUACCGUAAGAAUAAGCACCGGCUAACUACGUGCCAGCAGCCGCCGUAA
rnacentral:rRNA from 1 species